UUUUCCUUGUCUAACUGCUCACUCCCAAAAUCCUGCUGAAGAGAAUCCAGAGAGUGACCCAGGUCUCUGUAAUACCAUAGCAAAUUAUAUAACAGAAUUUUGUACACUUCUAUUUUUUUCCUCUCCUCCAGUGCAUUCCACGCACCUACACAGUCGCACUAAUUAGAUCACGUAAUAAACUUAAAUGUGGCAAAAAAUCUGUUCACAGGGGGUUGCAAGACAGCUGGACUUGGAAAACAGCCAGUCAUUAAUUUUGUUUUGUUUGAGAAAAUCUAAAGGACAUUGACAUUAUCUUACUGAAGAUGAAGCAAACUUCAUGUAGUAGGAGCUGUAAUCUAAGUAGACAAAUUAUUUCAUUUAAAUAGUCCACAGUGAAUCUUGAUGUAAAGGUUUGUUUACAUGAAAAAACAUAUCUGUGAGUUUAACAAAGUCAUUAAAAAUUAAACUAAAAAACCUAAACUAAUGUUAAGUUAUACUUGGUUAGUUUAGUUAAAUUAAAGUACUCAAAACUAAAUGAAUGCUCAUCCAUAAUGGAUACCUACAGAAGAGUUAAGUAGCAAGAACUCUACUUUGAACCUCAGGUGUCUUUUAUUUAAAAAGAGGUGUCUGCAUGAGAUAUGAACCUCAAUCAAUUUUUAUUUUUUUUUUACUAGAUUGUCCUAGUGCAUAAUACAGUAAUCCCUGCAUUUGUGGGGAAAUACAGGAGGGUGAAAGCAGGGCUUGCUCUAAGACACCACUUACAGUGGCAACUUUACACUUGCACACUCAUUUCUAGGGAAGGGAAUAACUUUCAGUGCUCUGUCAGUUUGACAUCAGUGAUUACUGGUAAAAGGAUCAGCUCCAAGGAGGUUUUUCACUUAGAUCUCUCCCAGGGGAUCUCAACAUCCCUUUUCAUCCUUCCUAGAGCUUAAGAGAGCUUUGCUGUGCAGGUUCAGCCCAUCAAAAGAAAAAGGAAAUGGAAAAGAAAAGCCAUUCAGAAUAAAGAUGAGACAACAUUCCCA
rnacentral:lncRNA from 1 species